AUACGUAGGGGGCGAGCGUUGUCCGGAAUGAUUGGGCGUAAAGGGCGCGUAGGCGGCGCGGUAAGUCUGGAGUGAAAGUCCUGCUUUCAAGGUGGGAAUUGCUUUGGAUACUGCCGCGCUUGAGUGCAGGAGAGGUUAUCGGAAUUCCCGGUGUAGCGGUGAAAUGCGUAGUGAUCGGGAGGAACACCAGUGGCGAAGGCGGGUAACUGGACUGCAACGUACGCUGAGGCGCGAAAGUGUGGGGAGCAAACAGGAUUAGAUACCCUGGUAGUCCACACUGUAAACGAUGAAUGCUAGGUGUAGGGGGUAUCGACCCCUUCUGUGCCGCAGUCAACACAAUAAGCAUUCCGCCUGGGGAGUACGGCCGCAAGGUUGAAACUCAAAGGAAUUGACGGGG
rnacentral:rRNA from 1 species